GAACCUGCGCGAAGGAUCAUU
rnacentral:rRNA from 1 species